GCACUGCUGAGGAGUCCCAUACCAAGACGAGACGGCCGUCCAGUGC
rnacentral:hammerhead_ribozyme from 1 species